UGGGGAAUAUUGGACAAUGGGGGCAACCCUGAUCCAGCAAUGCCGCGUGGGUGAAGAAGGUCUUCGGAUUGUAAAGCCCUUUCGGCGGGGACGAUGAUGACGGUACCCGCAGAAGAAGCCCCGGCUAACUUCGUGCCAGCAGCCGCGGUAAUACGAAGGGGGCUAGCGUUGCUCGGAAUGACUGGGCGUAAAGGGCGCGUAGGCGGUUCUGUUAGUCAGGCGUGAAAUUCCUGGGCUUAACCUGGGGACUGCGCUUGAUACGGCGGGACUUGAGGACGGAAGAGGCUCGUGGAAUUCCCAGUGUAGAGGUGAAAUUCGUAGAUAUUGGGAAGAACACCGGUGGCGAAGGCGGCGAGCUGGUCCGUUACUGACGCUGAGGCGCGACAGCGUGGGGAGCAAACA
rnacentral:rRNA from 1 species